rnacentral:misc_RNA from 1 species
AUUCCGAAGGGCAUGCCUGUUUGAGUGUCAUGAAAUAUCAAUCAAUUAGCUUUGAUUGGAACUGGGCUCUGCCGUCUGGCUUGCCUCAAAAGCGUUAGUGAUCGGUGGCGUAAUAAGUUUCGUCAUGGCCGGUCGCUCACAACCCCCCAUAUUAUUUUAUCUCUGACCUCAAAUCAGGUAGGACUACCCGCUGAACUUAA